rnacentral:lncRNA from 1 species
GUGGAAGCACCAGAGACACAACAUAACACCCCAAAUCCCAGAAAAAGUGCUUUUUUCAUAAUAUGGGCACUUUAAAAUGUUUUCUAUAGUCUAUAAAAGCCGCAGAAAUGAUGAUGAAAAUGUUGUUUGCAACACUAACUCUCUGCUUAGCUGUAGCUCAGUCUCUCUGCAGUCAUGAAGCGCUUCAUAAGACUUCAUUUGACUGUCUGUUUUUCUGUCUCCAGCUUGAGGAGACUCAGACAAAGCGCCACGAUCAGCUGGUGGAACAGCACACUGAGCUCCUGCAGGAGAUACAAGACCAGAAACCAAAGCUGCAAGGGGCCGUGGAGGCGGAGUUUCAGGAUAAGUUCCAGUGUUUGCCCGGAGAGAUUCAAGACUUCCUGCAGGACAGGAAGACGGAGGUUAGAGGACACAGCAAGUCCCGACCUUCGACCCCACACGAAACGCUGUCAGAGGAGGACUGAGGAAGAAGAACAUGUGACCAGGAGUGAUGAAGAUGAAGAGUCGAUGAAUCAGUGGAAGUAGAGGAAGUAAGAGGGAAACGUUGAGGAAAGGGAAGUGAGAGGAGAUUUUAAGAUUAUGAAGACUGUUUCUUUUCUUUUUAAUGGAAGAAUGCUUUAUUGGUUUAUUUUUUAAUUCCAUUCAAGCAUGCACUUUGUUGUCUAUCUAUCUAUCUAUCUAUCUAUCUAUCUAUCUAUCUAUCUAUCUAUCUAUCUAUCUAUCUAUCUAUCUGUCUAUCUAUCUAUCUAUCUAUCUAUCUAUCCAUCUAUCCAUCUAUCUGACAGUUUGUGCCGUGAACAUAUUAUUUUAUAUGCACAUGGAGAGAUGUUUUACAAUAUAACACAAUCACUUCAGCAGUGUUUUUAGUCAAUUCCAAGCAGCUAUGGCCAUGACAACUUUUACAAUGGUCAGAAUCAAAAACUGCAAUAAUAAUGCACUUAUAAACAGCAGCUGGAGGUUAUUUUACUUUGCUCAAGAGCACUUUGGUGAUAGUAAUGAGUGAGAUGCACAUGCUCUUCUUUCACUUUUCCCCAUGCAGAUAUAUCUUGAAAAUCGAGAAAAUAAGAAAUGAUGUAUUAUUAUUAUUAUUAUUAUUAUUAUAACAACCCAGGAUGAUGUGCACAGCAGCAUAAGAUAACACACACAUACCAUCGUGUAAUGUGAAAACUGUAUACUUUUCAGGAUAUGGGAAAAUACACACAGCGAUUUUAAUGUUAUUUUAUGUUACAUCAAUCUCACUGCAUCUAAUGUCAUGUAAUAUUUCAAGUGCGUAUUAUGUGGCGUUUUUUGGGGGUGAUGAUUGUUCAUCCACGUUACAAGUAAGACCUUAACAGGGAUGAAGCCCAUAUUCAGAAUAUUAAAGGGAUAGUUUGGAUAUUUUGAAGUAAGGGUACUUAUCCUUAGGCAAGGCAAGGCAAUUUUAUUUAUAUGGCACCAUUCAGACAUGAAGCAAUUCAAAGUGCUUUACAGGGGUGAAAAAUACAUAAAGAAUAUUAAAGCAACAUUAACAUUACAAGUAAAAGACAAAUAAUGCGCACAAAAAACAACCAAAUAAAUAGUUUGAGAUAAUAAUACCAAUUUAAAAGAAAUUAUAUUCCAAAGACAAUAAAAACAAAGCAAGCAAAUAAAUAGUUACAGAUUAUUGUACAGAUUAUUACAAAUAAUUGUCAGUGUAUUACCUACAGCGGCAGCUAAACAUUAGCUAGCAGUUAGUUUUAACCCUUUUAAAACAUCAAAGUCACACAAUAACACAAACAGACUAACCAAAGGAGGCAGCGGUAACUGUUUUUGUCAAAGGAGUCCGGUGGCUUUGAAGAGAGCAGAGACAACGGUUUCAGUUCCCCGUCUGAAAGGUAAAGUUGUAAAAAUAUCAUGACUAUAGUAGAACACUUAAACUGAUAUAGAUUAUUUUUAGGUGUCUAAAAUACGUCCACAGCAGGACAUAGCUUAGCUUCCAUGUCGGUACUCCUGCCUAAAGGCAGUCGGACUGAUCAGUCUCCCCGAGUUGGUCAAAAAAGUGCCUCGGAACACACCAAAGCACGUACAUUCUGCGCGUGCGUGAGACGUAAUACGUCUCCAUAACAGCAGGCGGUGCUAUUCUGUAUUGUCACCUCAAAAAAUUUAAACCGACUGGUUUGGACGAAUGCGUCACGUGGGUCUGGCUUCUCCCGAAUUUCAAAACCGACCAUAAUGGCAGCUCGUUUGGAAUACAAUCUCGUAUUUUACGAAAAUAGUUCACCAAACGUGUUUCUGAAAACAUUUUAAGCAAGAAAUAGGACAUGCAGUUGCUGAAUCUGUCUUCAUUUCAGAUCGACAAAGGUCAGUUUAAAAGAUUUUAAAAGAGCGUUCGUCACGCUCAUCCCGCGCGUCAUUUCCGGUAAUUGGUCAUUGAGUCCGACUGCCCACUGGCCGAGUCAACAAGUCAAAUCGGCCCAAAUGAACGCCGACAGCUCCUCCGACUGACGAUGGCACGGAACACACCGAACAGACUCGAGUCACCGACCUUGCCAGACUGUCUGACGGCUGAUUGUCGGGUUGGUGUGUCAGCGCCUUAACAUACUGACUAUGGAGAAGUAGCUCAUACAACCACACUUCAAAAAAUCCAAACUAUCCCUUUAAUGAGUAUGUUGACACUUAAUUUUGAGUGAGGAAAUCAUCUGAACUAGUUUAAUUUGAUAAAGAAAAAGGCUCAGUAAAUAACUAUCUGUACUUUGUAUUUUACAAGAUUUAUGCCUAGACAACCACUGGAUCAUUUAUUGAGUCCUCAAAUACUUUGAUUAUGCAUAUAUUUACUUACUUACUUAUUUAUUUAUUUAUUCAUGACAUUUUGGGAGAAGAAUUAAUCACAAUAGCAAUUUCUGUUAGGUUAUUAAAAUUAUACAUCAUAGCAUGACCGUUAGCCUGAGACAUUUAUGAACCAAUGGACUUUAAUUUUAAUAAUGUUUAAUCGAAGGAAGAGGAUUUGCACAGAAACAUUUCGGGAUAAGUAUGUUUUGUUUUUUUAUUUCUUUAAAAAAAUUAUCAGUUUUCUGAGCAGCAACGUCCCAUCAGUUCCUUCCGACUGCUACCCUAAUCGACUGACAGCUGGAUGUCCUGUUAGAGGUGGAAGAGCCUCAAAGUCUACUGCCGCUGCAUGAUUUAUUUGAUUUGAUGUGAAAACAGUGUUAGCACAGUUAUCAUUCUGAUAUGCUAUUUCUUUAUUUAUUGUUAUUUUCCUUAUAAUUAGGGAUCAAGAACAUAAACCAUUUGUAAAAAAAAUGUAAAAUGAAUGGAGCUUGUCUCUCUUUGUACAGUGAUCUUCCCAAAAAUAUUUGUUGGAACACUUUCCAUGUUUUGCUUUUCCUCUGCGCUAAGGCUUCAGCUGUGUUCAACAAACUUUUUGCAGGGAACCGUUCCUUAAAAUUUAAGCCGCUGUUGAUUAAAGCUUUAGUGCGUAACUUUUUGAUAUUAAUGAACGUCCGUUACAUUCAAGCCAUUGCAAAAUGAGUUGCUACAAAGCUAAUCAAGACUAUCAGCUCCACACAACUCUCUCUGUAUUUCUCAGUGUGGCUAUGUUCAGAAGAUUGUGUCGUCUGGCGACUUUCCCACGCAAAAACUCAAGUGAAGAUAAUAACCUCUUCUGAAGAGUCCAUCAUGUUUUUUUAAUCCUCCAUGUCCUCCUUGGCUACUAGCAACUGCGUGGAGGAGGAUGUGGGGGUGGUGCACGAUCACGGAAGGCUUGCAUCAUGUGGACGCGCCGACAGUUUUGUCAUUACUUAGAAUUCCUCAUGGGGGCGACAGAAACUACGCACUAUAGCUUUAAGAUUAAACAAUCUUGGCCACGGCCUGUACUUGACUUCGUAAAGGUAGCCUACACUGCAAUUUUAAUGGCAAGAUUUUAGACUCAGCUGCAAACAUUAAAGUACCUCACAAUUAUGUUACCACUUAAAAGUAUGUGUUUAAAACAUGUUUAAAGUCUGCAAAGUGGUUCUCCAACAAAAUGCCUUGUUGAACGCACCCUUGCUUUAGUGAUUAAACUGAGCAUGCUUUAUUGUCUUGGAUUUCUCCACCAGAUUAAUAGUUUCUUGGUUUUACUGAAUGCUAUUUUAAGAUCAAUUGAAAAUUAAAAAUAUUUGAUCUAAAACUGAGGUGUUAUCAGUUUAUAUUCCGGAUGUUAUAGUCCAACAUCGCAGCUGUAUUAACCUUUUAGAGAAGAUGCACUGAUGAGGCGAAUGAGAGGAGGUAAUUAUUGUUGUCAUCCACAUCAAGACAAACCCACUGCAAUGCACAAAACUCUGCCAUCAUUUUGUGUUUGAGCACGGUGAUGUGGGCUUUCACAGGGAGGCAGUGAACUGUAGGCGUCAUGGGGGAGGAACGUGGAGGAGGGUUUUCAAGCUGAGAGAUGGUCUGUCAUUAUUUUGUUUGAUGAUGAAGUUUCUGCCUGUCGACAUCACUGACAGUAUGGAAAUUUAAUGAAUUGUUAUAUGUAUAUAUGCCAUCUA